rnacentral:rRNA from 1 species
UACGUAGGGGGCAAGCGUUGUCCGGAUUUAUUGGGCGUAAAGAGCGUGUAGGCGGCCAGACAGGUCCGUUGUGAAGACUCGAGGCUCAACCUCGAGACGCCGAUGGAAACCGUCUGGCUAGAGUCCGGAAGAGGAGAGUGGAAUUCCUGGUGUAGCGGUGAAAUGCGCAGAUAUCAUGAGGAAUACCAGAGGCGAAGGCGGCUACCUGGACAAUUGCUGACGCUCAGGCACGAAAGCGUGGGGAGCAAAAGGG